ensembl:lncRNA
GGGGGCUGCGGGGUCUGGGGGUCUUCAUGGGGUCUGUGGGGUUUCUAUGGGGUCUCUAUGGGAUCUAUGGGGUCUGUGGGGUCUCUAUGGGGUCUGUGGGGUUCUCUAUGGGGUCUCUAUGAGGUCUUAGGGGUCUGUGGGGUCUCUAUGGGUCUUAAUGGGGUCUCUAUGGGGUCUGUGGGGUCUCUGUGGGUCUUAAUGGGGUCUAUGGGGUCUUUGGGGUCUCUAUGGGUCUUAAUGGGGUCUAUGGGGUCUGUGGGGUCUCUAUGGGGUCUGUGGGGUCUCUGUGGGUCUUAAUGGGGUCUCUAUGGGUCUUAACGGGGUCUGUGGGGUCUCUAUGGGGUCUAUGGGGUCUCUAUGGGGCUCUGUGGGUCUCUAUGGAUCUCUGUGGGUGUCUUUGGGGCUCUGUGGGGUCUGUAUGGGUGUAUAUGAGGUCUCUAUGGGUGUCUAUGGGGUCUCUUUGGGGCUCUGUGGGGUCUAUGGGGUCUGUGGGAUCUCUAUGGGGUCUGUGGGGUCUCUAUGGAUCUCUGUGGGGUCUCACUGGGGUCUGUGGGUGUCUUUGGGGUCUCUAUGGGACUCUGUGGGGUCUAUUGGGUCAGUGGGAUCUCUGGGUCUUAAUGGAGUCUGUGGGGUCUCUAUGGGUCUGUAUGGGGUCUGUGGGGUCUCUAUGGGGUCUGUGGGGUCUCUAUGGGUCUGUAUGGGCUCUUUAUGGGGUCUAUGGGUGUCUAUGGAGUUUCUAUAAGGUCUUUGGGGUUUCUAUGGUUCUUAAUGGGGUCUGUGGGGUCUCUAUGGGUCUCUAUGGGGCUCUAUGAAUCUUAAUGGGUCUCUAUGGGGUCUGUGGGUGUCUAUGGGGUCUCUAUGGGGUCUGUGGGGUCUCUAUGGGUCUGUAUGGGGUCUCUGGGUCUCUAUGGGGUCACUUUGGGGUCUCUAUGGGAUCUAUGGGUGUCUAUGGGUGUCUAUGGGGUCUCUGUGUGUCUCUGUGGGUCUCUAUGGGGUCAUUUUGGAGUUUCUAUGGGGUCCCUUUGAGAUCUCUAUGGGUCUCUAUGGGGUCUCUAUGGGGUCGCUGUGGGUCUCUGUGGGAUCUCUAUGGGUCUCUAUGGGUUCUCUAUGGGGUCACUUCGGGGUCUCUAUGGGGUCACUUUGGGGUCACUUUGGGGUCUCUAUGGGGUCUCUCUGGUCCGUCCCUGCAGUCCCUGGCAGCGGUGGCUCGCGCCCCACGGGAGGAGCUGUCACUGUGCCCAGGGAUCGGACCCCAGAAGGCCAAGCGUCUCUACGAAGCCCUGCACGAACCCUUCCUGAAAGCACCCAAAAACCCCAAAUCUUCGCUUUUAUCCUAAAAAAACGACGACCCCAUAAACACAGCAACUGCAGCACUGCGUCACCGCCAUUUUGGGGACUGUGGGGUCAUUGGGGUGUCAGUGGGGUCAUUGGGGCUAUAUGUGGGUCAAUGCGGCCAUAUUGGGGACAUAUUAGGGUCAGGUUCCAGUGGAGACAUAUUAGGGUCAAGGGGCCAUAUUGGGGUCAGUGGGGCCAUAUUGGGGUCCAGUGGGACACAGGGGGGUCAGUGGGGCCAUAUUGCGGUCCAUGAGGCCAUAUUGGGGUCAAUGAAGACACUAGGGUCAGUGGGGCCAUAUUAGAACCAAUGGGGACACAGUGGGGUCAGUCAGGUGACAUUGGGGUCAGUGGGGCCAUACUAGGGUCAAUAGGGCCUAUAUGGGGUCUGAUGAGACUCAGUAGGGCAUUAUUGGGGUCAGUGGGGCCAUAUUGGGGUCCAUGAGGCCAUAUUGGGACCAAUAGGGCCAUAUGGGGUCCAAUGAGACACAAUGGGGUCAGUGGAGCCAUAUUGGGGUUGGUGGGGCCAUAUUGGGGUCAAUAGGGCCAUAUUAGGGUCCAUGAGGCCAUACUGGGUCCAAUGGGGACACAAUGGGUUCAGUCAGGUGACAUUGGGGUCAAUGGGGCCAUAUUGGGGUCAGUAAGACUGUAUGGGGUCCAAUGAGACACAAUGGGGUCGGUGGGGCCAUAUUGGGGUCAGUGGGGCCAUUUUGGGGUCAAUGGGGCCAUAUGGGGUCCAAUGAGACACAAUGGGGUCGGUGGGGCCAUAUUGGGGUCAAUGGGGCCAUAUUGGGUUCAAUUGAGCCGUUUUGGGGUCAAUGGCCCCAUUAUCUUUAAUAGGGUCACAUCGGGAUCAAUGGGGCCUUAUUG